rnacentral:rRNA from 1 species
AUGGCAAGUCGAGCGGAUGACGAGGAGCUUGCUCCUCAGAUUCAGCGGCGGACAGGUGAGUAACACGUGGGCAACCUGCCUGUAAGACUGGGAUAACUUCGGGAAACCGGAGCUAAUACCGGAUAACUCUUCGGACCACAUGGACUGAAGAUAAAAGAUGGUUCUGCUAUCACUUACAGAUGGGCCCGCGGCGCAUUAGCUAGCUGGUGAGGUAACGGCUCACCAAGGCGACGAUGCGUAGCCGACCUGAGAGGGUGAUCGGCCACACUGGGACUGAGACACGGCCCAGACUCCUACGGGAGGCAGCAGUAGGGAAUCUUCCGCAAUGGACGAAAGUCUGACGGAGCAACGCCGCGUGAGCGAUGAAGGCCUUCGGGUCGUAAAGCUCUGUUGUUAGGGAAGAACAAGUAUCAGUUAACUGCUGGUACCUUGACGGUACCUAACGAGAAAGCCACGGCUAACUACGUGCCAGCAGCCGCGGUAAUACGUAGGUGGCAAGCGUUGUCCGGAUUUAUUGGGCGUAAAGCGCGCGCAGGCGGGUUCUUUAAGUCUGAUGUGAAAGCCCACGGCUCAACCGUGGAGGGUCAUUGGAAACUGGGGAACUUGAGUGCAGAAGAGGAGAGCGGAAUUCUACGUGUAGCGGUGAAAUGCGUAGAGAUGUGGAGGAACACCAGUGGCGAAGGCGGCUCUCUGGUCUGUAACUGACGCUGAGGCGCGAAAGCGUGGGGGAGCAAACAGGGAUUUAGAUACCCUGGUAGUCCACGCCGUAAACGAUGAGUGCUAAAGUGUUGGAGGGGUUUCCCGCCCCUUCAGUGCUGCAACCUAAACGCAUUAAGGCACUCCCGCCUGGGGAGUACGGUC